AAAUCACAGUCAAUCUACUUCCUGUAAAUUCCUGUAUAUCUCUGCACAUGGACUGAUGAAGAAGAAAAGCUCAAAGAAGUAGCAUACAGCUGGCUCACUUCAUGGACUUCCUGAGCUCCACCUAAUGUUUGGCUGUGGGGCUUAGUAUCUGCUCCCAUCAGUUGCUAGAUGAAUUCUCUCUGGUUGUCUUGAUAAUGAUUCUGCUGGGCCAUGGUUCCAGAACACUCUGAAGAUUGGACAAACUGUAGAUCAAAGUGAAUUACAUAUGGAAUUAACAUGGCAACCAAAAAUACCCAUCAUAGAUAAUACCCCUGAUAUUAUCCUGGAAAUCCACAUGAACAUGUUCUCACCCAACCUGCAACAAGGGUUCGAAGUCUUAUGACUUUUCAAACAUCUGAAAUGACAAGACCAUAGUCAGAAGUAAAAUAUCUAACAUUCUAAGGGCUAGAGAGAACCAAGAGAGAUGGAACUGGGAUCAGUUAAAGUGCUUCCCUGAUGGAUAAUUGUCCAUUGUUCUUCUAAGAAGGGGGAUGCUGAACAUCUCUGAAUAUAAACAUGGAAACCUUCCAUAACAUCUGCUGCUAAUUUCUGCCAGCUGAAAAGUGAUAAUGAUGAUGAAUACUUUUGUUGAUGAUGUGGAUACAUUGGCCUAACUAAAUUAACUUGCAGACUCAGGGCAUCUAAUUGAAAACACAUGAUUUGUGGUAUCACCUGGUUGGCUUUAUGUGUAGUUACAUAUUUAAUUGUUCCAAUAGGUUUAACUUUAAAAAGCUAAAAGGGUAAAAUAAACCAGAAUCUUGGAAUAAUGU